GCCUGACCUGCGGCCUGAACUCACGAACUUCGAGAUCAUGACCUAAGCUGAAGUCAGAUGCGCAAGCAACUGAGCCACCCAGGCGCCCUCCAAAAUAAUCUUUCUGAACAGCAGACACCUUUCAGAUAAACACAGUCUGAUGUCAGUGGAACAAAAUCUAGCAAACAUCAUUCUAUCUAGGCUGCAUUGGAGCAGUUCUAAUAAAAGAAGGCAGUGCUGCUAAGGGAGAAGUGGUAGGAACCUCCCCAGAGAAGUCCAAGUGAAUUACUGGAGGAGAAAAACCCAUGCCUGAAAUUUGCGUCUGUUGCCAGUCUCAGAUUUAUGCCAAACACCGCUCACUGUUCAGAAGUGUGGUCCCCUGAAAAUGCAGGCCGAAUAUCACCUCUCUGUCUUCAAAG